UUCAGGCACCGAAAGAAAAUAUUUUCUUCUUUUCACUUUUUUCUUUCUUAAGGAAAAAAUAAAUCAUGGCUUUUUCACAGGAAGAUAGCUUGGGGAAGCUGGAUCAUCAAACAGUGCAGAGCAAAUGAGCAGAGCAAAAAAGAAUCUGUGAGGACUGGAAAUGCCUGUCCGUGGCAGAGAGAUGGAGCAGGUCUCUGUGAAAAAGCAAGAUAGAGAUUAGGUGGAAUAUUCCCUGUAUCUGUGACUUGCACAGCAUGGGAGAAGCUGGGUCAUGAGAGGAAAAAAGAGCUCUUUGUUAAUGUUUGUGUGAAGUUGUGCUUGUGGCUAAAUUUGCUUCCCUCUUGCCUGCCUCUGACUCUGCCUGCAUCUCCAACAUGGAGCUAUUUCCCAGCCUAAACUACUGCUGCAGGGCGUGCAUUUUUUGAGGCAAUGAAAUCACAUCUUUGUCCAAGAAGAAGAACCAAAUAAGAACCAAAAAGAGAAGUUAUAUAUGAAGCAUAAAAUGAACUAACGAGAAGUUGAAAACUGAGCAUCCAGUAUUUAAAAUAAUCUCCUGAGCAGUUUUAUUUAACAUAUUCUUCAUACUGGAAGCGAUUACUUUCUUCUUGUUUGUGGUCACAACCUUGUCAGUCUGGAUGAAGACAAAAUAUUGCACCAGGACAGAUCAUAGCUCAAGAGCUCCAACUAGAACAUCAACCCCAAGGCCUGCCUGAUGCAGUGUUUGUACAACACUUAUCAUGAAGAGUCCAUUGAGCUGGGCAAAAUCAGCAGAAGUUAUUGCCAAGGACAGACUUGGUAAUCAGAUCUUGAAAAAGAAAAAAAACCCUAAAAGUUUGUGCCUAUGCUGGAGUAAUUCCAGUUACAGUAGGAUAAACUUGGCUGGCUAAAAGAAGUAGUUACAGCACUGCCAGCACAUCCAGA
rnacentral:lncRNA from 1 species